ACCAUCCUCCAAGGCUAAAUACUCCUGACUGACCGAUAGUGAACCAGUACCGUGAGGGAAAGGCGAAAAGAACCCCGGCGAGGGGAGUGAAAAAGAACCUGAAACCGUGUACGUACAAGCAGUGGGAGCCUCUUUAUGGGGUGACUGCGUACCUUUUGUAUAAUGGGUCAGCGACUUAUAUUCUGUAGCAAGGUUAACCGAAUAGGGGAGCCGAAGGGAAACCGAGUCUUAACUGGGCGUUAAGUUGCAGGGUAUAGACCCGAAACCCGGUGAUCUAGCCAUGGGCAGGUUGAAGGUUGGGUAACACUAACUGGAGGACCGAACCGACUAAUGUUGAAAAAUUAGCGGAUGACUUGUGGCUGGGGGUGAAAGGCCAAUCAAACCGGGAGAUAGCUGGUUCUCCCCGAAAGCUAUUUAGGUAGCGCCUCGUGAAUUCAUCUCCGGGGGUAGAGCACUGUUUCGGCAAGGGGGUCAUCCCGACUUACCAACCCGAUGCAAACUGCGAAUACCGGAGAAUGUUAUCACGGGAGACACACGGCGGGUGCUAACGUCCGUCGUGAAGAGGGAAACAACCCAGACCGCCAGCUAAGGUCCCAAAGUCAUGGUUAAGUGGGAAACGAUGUGGGAAGGCCCAGACAGCCAGGAUGUUGGCUUAGAAGCAGCCAUCAUUUAAAGAAAGCGUAAUAGCUCACUGGUCGAGUCGGCCUGCGCGGAAGAUGUAACGGGGCUAAACCAUGCACCGAAGCUGCGGCAGCGACGCUUAUGCGUUGUUGGGUAGGGGAGCGUUCUGUAAGCCUGCGAAGGUGUACUGUGAGGUAUGCUGGAGGUAUCAGAAGUGCGAAUGCUGACAUAAGUAACGAUAAAGCGGGUGAAAAGCCCGCUCGCCGGAAGACCAAGGGUUCCUGUCCAACGUUAAUCGGGGCAGGGUGAGUCGACCCCUAAGGCGAGGCCGAAAGGCGUAGUCGAUGGGAAACAGGUUAAUAUUCCUGUACUUGGUGUUACUGCGAAGGGGGGACGGAGAAGGCUAUGUUGGCCGGGCGACGGUUGUCCCGGUUUAAGCGUGUAGGCUGGUUUUCCAGGCAAAUCCGGAAAAUCAAGGCUGAGGCGUGAUGACGAGGCACUACGGUGCUGAAGCAACAAAUGCCCUGCUUCCAGGAAAAGCCUCUAAGCAUCAGGUAACAUCAAAUCGUACCCCAAACCGACACAGGUGGUCAGGUAGAGAAUACCAAGGCGCUUGAGAGAACUCGGGUGAAGGAACUAGGCAAAAUGGUGCCGUAACUUCGGGAGAAGGCACGCUGAUAUGUAGGUGAAGUCCCUUGCGGAUGGAGCUGAAAUCAGUCGAAGAUACCAGCUGGCUGCAACUGUUUAUUAAAAACACAGCACUGUGCAAACACGAAAGUGGACGUAUACGGUGUGACGCCUGCCCGGUGCCGGAAGGUUAAUUGAUGGGGUUAGCGGUAACGCGAAGCUCUUGAUCGAAGCCCCGGUAAACGGCGGCCGUAACUAUAACGGUCCUAAGGUAGCGAAAUUCCUUGUCGGGUAAGUUCCGACCUGCACGAAUGGCGUAAUGAUGGCCAGGCUGUCUCCACCCGAGACUCAGUGAAAUUGAACUCGCUGUGAAGAUGCAGUGUACCCGCGGCAAGACGGAAAGACCCCGUGAACCUUUACUAUAGCUUGACACUGAACAUUGAGCCUUGAUGUGUAGGAUAGGUGGGAGGCUUUGAAGUGUGGACGCCAGUCUGCAUGGAGCCGACCUUGAAAUACCACCCUUUAAUGUUUGAUGUUCUAACGUUGGCCCCUAAUCGGGGUUGCGGACAGUGUCUGGUGGGUAGUUUGACUGGGGCGGUCUCCUCCUAAAGAGUAACGGAGGAGCACGAAGGUUGGCUAAUCCUGGUCGGACAUCAGGAGGUUAGUGCAAUGGCAUAAGCCAGCUUGACUGCGAGCGUGACGGCGCGAGCAGGUGCGAAAGCAGGUCAUAGUGAUCCGGUGGUUCUGAAUGGAAGGGCCAUCGCUCAACGGAUAAAAGGUACUCCGGGGAUAACAGGCUGAUACCGCCCAAGAGUUCAUAUCGACGGCGGUGUUUGGCACCUCGAUGUCGGCUCAUCACAUCCUGGGGCUGAAGUAGGUCCCAAGGGUAUGGCUGUUCGCCAUUUAAAGUGGUACGCGAGCUGGGUUUAGAACGUCGUGAGACAGUUCGGUCCCUAUCUGCCGUGGGCGCUGGAGAACUGAGGGGGGCUGCUCCUAGUACGAGAGGACCGGAGUGGACGCAUCACUGGUGUUCGGGUUGUCAUGCCAAUGGCACUGCCCGGUAGCUAAAUGCGGAAGAGAUAAGUGCUGAAAGCAUCUAAGCACGAAACUUGCCCCGAGAUGAGUUCUCCCUGACUCCCUGAGAGUCCUGAAGGAACGUUGAAGACGACGACGUUGAUAGGCCGGGUGUGUAAGCGCAGCGAUGCGUUGAGCUAACCGGUACUAAUGAACCGUGAGGCUUAACCUU
rnacentral:rRNA from 2 species